rnacentral:rRNA from 1 species
GAUGAACGCUAGCUACAGGCUUAACACAUGCAAGUCGAGGGGAAACGACAUCGAAAGCUUGCUUUUGAUGGGCGUCGACCGGCGCACGGGUGAGUAACGCGUAUCCAACCUGCCCACCACUUGGGGAUAACCUUGCGAAAGUAAGACUAAUACCCAAUGAUAUCUCUAGAAGACAUCUGAAAGAGAUUAAAGAUUUAUAGGUGAUGGAUGGGGAUGCGUCUGAUUAGCUUGUUGGCGGGGUAACGGCCCACCAAGGCUACGAUCAGUAGGGGUUCUGAGAGGAAGGUCCCCCACAUUGGAACUGAGACACGGUCCAAACUCCUACGGGAGGCAGCAGUGAGGAAUAUUGGUCAAUGGACGGGAGUCUGAACCAGCCAAGUAGCGUGCAGGAUGACGGCCCUAUGGGUUGUAAACUGCUUUUAUAAGGGAAUAAAGUGAGUCUCGUGAGACUUCUUGCAUGUACCUUAUGAAUAAGGACCGGCUAAUUCCGUGCCAGCAGCCGCGGUAA